rnacentral:rRNA from 1 species
CUUGACACUGAACAUUGAGCCUUGAUGUGUAGGAUAGGUGGGAGGCUUUGAAGCGUGGACGCCAGUCUGCGUGGAGCCAACCUUGAAAUACCACCCUUUAAUGUUUGAUGUUCUAACGUUGGCCCCUGACCGGGGUUGCGGACAGUGUCUGGUGGGUAGUUUGACUGGGGCGGUCUCCUCCCAAAGCGUAACGGAGGAGCACGAAGGUUAGCUAAUCCUGGUCGGACAUCAGGAGGUUAGUGCAAUGGCAUAAGC